AUGAAGUUGGAAUUGCUAGUAAUCGUGGAUCAGCAUGCCACGGUGAAUACGUUCCCGGGUCUUGUACACACCGCCCGUCACACCAUGGGAGCCGGUAAUACCCGAAGUCAGUAGUCUAACCGCAAGGAGGACGCUGCCGAAGGUAGGAUUGGCGACUGGGGUGAAGUCGUAACAAGGUAAC
rnacentral:rRNA from 1 species